rnacentral:rRNA from 1 species
ACCRUGAGGGAAAGAUGAAAAGAACUUUGGAAAGAGAGUUAAACAGUACGUGAAAUUGCUGAAAGGGAAACGCUUGAAGUCAGUCGCGUUGGCCGGGGAUCAGCCUUGCAAUCUUGUUGGGUGCAUUUCCUGGUUGACGGGUCAGCAUCAAUUUUGACCGUCGGAGAAGGGUUGAGGGAAUGUGGCAUCCUUCGGGGUGUGUUAUAGCCUUUGAUCGUAUGCGACGGUUGGGAUUGAGGAACUCAGCAUGACCCCUCGUGGGUUUGGGGCUUCGGCUCACAUCCAGCUAGGAUGCKGCAUAAUGGCUUUAAGCGA